rnacentral:rRNA from 1 species
CAGUAGCCACGGUAAUACGUAGGUGGCAAGCGUUGUCCGGAAUUAUUGGGCGUAAAGGGCUCGCAGGCGGUUUCUUAAGUCUGAUGUGAAAGCCCCCGGCUCAACCGGGGAGGGUCAUUGGAAACUGGGAAACUUGAGUGCGGAAGAGGAGAGUGGAAUUCCACGUGUAGCGGUGAAAUGCGUAGAGAUGUGGAGGAACACCAGUGGCGAAGGCGACUCUCUGGUCUGUAACUGACGCUGAGGAGCGAAAGCGUGGGGAGCGAACAGGAUUAGAUACCCGAGUAGUCCCUGUCUCUUAUAC